AGCACCCUAUAAUAUAUGCAUGUUCAGGUGAGUGCAGCCCUCUUGGUUUCAUAUAUAUAUAUAUAUAUAUAUAUAUAUAUAUAUAUAUAUGAAACAAGGGGGGGGUUUGGCUGCACUCACCUGAACAUGCAUAAAUGGGGGUGCU